GGGUUGAGCCAUCAUAAUAUGCUUCGCAUAAAAGAACGCUGCGCAUGGCAGUACCCAUUCCACCGUGCUAGUACUGUCAACGCUACCAGGGCAGCCAUUUUCCCGACGUGGACCCUCUCAUAGCCACUGGAAGCGUUCACGCGGAGUCGGAGGUGUAGGGUGCCUUAGGCUGGGACCGGACGCCAGACGCGUACUCCUCAGACCACCCGCAGUGCAUCGUAGUCUUCUGAGCAGACGUGCAUUCUGUUCCAAAGCUGCACGUCUUCCAAACGCCGCUUUCAAAGACAAUGGUGAGACGAAGGAAUCGAGCUCCGCCAAGGAGGGUGCUUCUUGAGGAUUUUAUGGCCGACUUGGAAUUACUCGAGCAUGUGCUCGUCUUCAUCCUACAGGCCUUGUUGGACCUGGAGGUGCUCUUCCUCGAUCUGUGGCACACUUUGCGAAGCAGUCUUUAAACGCUGCGCUGCCACAUGGACGUCAUUUUUUUUUCCUUUAGUCAAUUUUGAUGGAGCAGUACAUCUUGCUCACUUGAAUACACGCUGCAUUUCUCCUUUGUUCACUAUUAGUGGCCAAUUCGACUACGACUGGGGAAAGUGUUCUGCUGGUCCUGUAAAACACUCCUCACAGCAGCAUUGCAUAAUAAAACAGGCAACCAAAAUGUGCA